CCUACGGGAGGCAGCAGUGAGGAAUAUUGGUCAAUGGGCGCGAGCCUGAACCAGCCAAGUCGCGUGAGGGAAGACGGCCCUACGGGUUGUAAACCUCUUUUGCCGGGGAGCAACGGGCGCCACGUGUGGCGCCACUGAGAGUACCCGGAGAAAAAGAAUCGGCUACCUCCGUGCCAGCAGCCGCGGUAAUACGGGGGAUGCGAGCGUUAUCCGGAUUUAUCGGGUGUAACGGGUGCGUAGGCGGAGCGUUAAGUCAGUGGUCAAAUUGAGGGGCUCAACCCCUUCCCGCCAUUGAAACUGGCGCUCUUGAGUGGAAGAGAAGUAUGCGGAACGCGUGGUGUAGCGGUGAAAUGCAGAGAUAUCACGCAGAACCCCGAUUGCGAAGGCAGCAUGCCGGCUUCCUACUGACGCUGAAGCACGAAAGCGUGGGGAUCGAACAGGAUUAGAUACCCGUGUAGUC
rnacentral:rRNA from 1 species